CUACGUGCCAGCAGCCGCGGUAAUACGGAAGGUCCGGGCGUUAUCCGGAUUUAUUGGGUUUAAAGGGAGCGUAGGCUGGAGAUUAAGUGUGUUGUGAAAUGUAGACGCUCAACGUCUGACUUGCAGCGCAUACUGGUUUCCUUGAGUACGCACAACGUUGGCGGAAUUCGUCGUGUAGCGGUGAAAUGCUUAGAUAUGACGAAGAACUCCGAUUGCGAAGGCAGCUGACGGGAGCGCAACUGACGCUUAAGCUCGAAGGUGCGGGUAUCGAACAGGAUUAGAUACCCUGGUAGUCCGCACAGUAAACGAUGGAUGCCCGCUGUUGGUACCUGGUAUCAGCGGCUAAGCGAAAGCAUUAAGCAUCCCACCUGGGGAGUACGCCGGCAACGGCGAAACUCAAAGGAAUUGACGGGGGCCCGCACAAGCGGAGGAACAUGUGGUUUAAUUCGAUGAUACGCGAGGAACCUUACCCGGGCUUGAA
rnacentral:rRNA from 1 species